CACAAUGACAAAAUUGUCUAAUGUUGCAUUUCUCUGAAUGCAUUUUUUAGGUUAAAUGAUGCAUGACUGUAUAUUUAUUUAUUCCCUCCCUCAUUCCACAAAGGGUUUUGUCAAAGCAGAUGACUCCCAAAGGUUUCAUAAAUCUUCCGGAAAAUAAGCUCCUUCAGCUAUAUAAUCAUGGCACCCACGGUUUAAAAGUUGAUAGUGAGAACAGCAUUGAACAGCCUGCUGCAUUCAGCAAAAGUCAUGCUGAUGCAAAGGUGGGCUCCCAUGGCCUUGGGCAUCUCCACCCCUGUGGCUUUGCAGAAGGCAGCCUCCCACCCUGGCUGCUUUCAUGGCUGGUGUUCAGUGUCUGUGGCUUUUCCAGGCACAUGGUGUCAUGCGCGUCUGA
rnacentral:lncRNA from 1 species